rnacentral:rRNA from 1 species
UACGGGGGGACCAAGCGUUGUUCGGAAUUACUGGGCGUAAAGCGUGCGCAGGCGGUUAUGCAAGACAGAUGUGAAAUCCCCGGGCUCAACCUGGGAACUGCAUUUGUGACUGCAAGGCUGGAGUGCGGCAGAGGGGGAUGGAAUUCCGCGUGUAGCAGUGAAAUGCGUAGAUAUGCGGAGGAACACCGAUGGCGAAGGCAAUCCCCUGGGCCUGCACUGACGCUCAUGCACGAAAGCGUGGGAGCAACAGG